GACGAACGCUGGCGGCGUGCCUAAUACAUGCAAGUCGAACGCAGUGGGGACGGGUGAGUAACACGUGGGUAACCUCCCAUCAGAGGGCAUAACACUUGGAAACAGGUGCUAAACCGAUACUGAUGGCUGAACCCGCGGUGCAUUAGCUAGUGGGUGGGGUAACGGCUCACCAAGGCCACGAUGCAUAGCGGACCGGAGAGGGGGAGAGGCCACACGGGGACUGAGACACGGCCCAGACUCCUACGGGAGGCAGGAGUAGGGAAUCUACGGCAAUGGACGAAAGUCUGACCGAGAAAAGCCGCGUGAGUGAAGAAGGUUUUCGGAUCGGAAAACUCUGUUGUUAGAGAAGCGGUAUCUAACCAGAAAGCCACGGCUAACUACGUGCCAGCAGCCGCGGUAAUAC
rnacentral:rRNA from 1 species